rnacentral:rRNA from 1 species
GAAGAAAGAGGGAGGCGUGCUUAACACAUGCAAGUCGAACGGUGAAGCGCCUUCCUUUUUGGUGGGUGUGGAUGAGUGGCGAACGGGUGAGUAACACGUGAGUAACCUGCCCCCUUCUUCUGGAUAACCGCAUGAAAGUGUGGCUAAUACGGGAUAUUCUGGGUCUGUCGCAUGAUGGGUCUGGGAAAGAUAUUGUUUCGGUGGGGGAUGGGCUCGCGGCCUAUCAGCUUGUUGGUGGGGUGAUGGCCUACCAAGGCGGUGACGGGUAGCCGGCCUGAGAGGGUGGACGGUCACACUGGGACUGAGACACGGCCCAGACUCCUACGGGAGGCAGCAGUGGGGAAUAUUGCACAAUGGGCGCAAGCCUGAUGCAGCGACGCCGCGUGAGGGAUGGAGGCCUUCGGGUUGUGAACCUCUUUCGCCAGUGAAGCAGGCCUGCCUCGUUUGUGGGUGGGUUGACGGUAGCUGGAUAAGAAGCGCCGGCUAACUACGUG